CACCGCGGUUAUACGAGAGGCCCAAGCUGAUAGACUGCGGCGUAAAGAGUGGUUAGGAUCAAACACACACUAAAGUCGAAUGCAUUCAAAGCUGUUAUACGCUAAUGAAGCUAGCCGAAGCCCAACUACGAAAGUGACUUUAAACCUACUGACUCCACGAAAGCUAGGAAA
rnacentral:rRNA from 1 species